GAAGGGACAAGCCGACGUGGCGACGGCGCCUGCCUAGAAAGCAGCGUGAGCACCGCGAGGUGCCUUGCGGGUUCGACUCCCUCUCCCUUCG
rnacentral:tRNA from 1 species